CCAACCUGCCCAGUGACUACAAGUUCAACGGCCGCGGUAUUUUGACCGUGCAAAGGUAGCGCAAUCACUUGUCUUUUAAAUGAAGACCUGUAUGAAUGGCCAAACGAGGGCUUAGCUGUCUCCCCUAUCAAGUCAGUGAAAUUGAUCUAUCCGUGCAGAAGCGGGUAUUAACAUACAAGACGAGAAGACCCUUUGGAGCUUAAGGUACAAAUCCACCUACGUCAAACAGCUUACUAAACAAGCGUAAACCUAAUAGAAUAUGGAAUUUUACCUUCGGUUGGGGCGACCGCGGAGAACAAGAAAUCCUCCAAGUGGAUUGGGAACUUCCCUAAAACCAAGAAAGACAUUUUCAAGUCACAGAAAUUCUGACCAAACAUGAUCCGGCCGCCCAGGCCGAUCAACGAACCAAGUUACCCUAGGGAUAACAGCGCAAUCCCCUCCAAGAGUCCAUAUCGACGAGAGGGUUUACGACCUCGAUGUUGGAUCAGGACAUCCUAAUGGUGCAGCCGCUAUUAAGGGUUCGUUUGUUCAACGAUUAAAGUCCUACGUGAUCUGAGUUCAGACCGG
rnacentral:rRNA from 1 species